AUUUUAUGCAUGCAAAAAUACUGAAACAAGUAUAUAGUAAAAAUUUUAAAAAUUUAGAUUAAAUUUAAUUUAAUCUAAGCAUGCAUAAGAUCAAAUCUUAAAACUAUAAACAGGAUCUAUAUAUGUAAGAUAGGAUUUAAAUAUAGAAAUCAAAUAGAGAAAAAUAAAUAAAGAAGAUCUAAUCUUCAUACCAUGGCACG
rnacentral:lncRNA from 1 species